GCCCGUGUGGCUCAGUGGUAGAGCACACCCUUGGUAAGGGUGAGGUCAUCAGUUCAAUCCUGAUCACGGGCU
rnacentral:tRNA from 8 species